AACGAACGCUGGCGGCAGGCUUAACACAUGCAAGUCGAACGCAUCCUUCGGGGUGAGUGGCAGACGGGUGAGUAACGCGUGGGAACGUGCCCUUCAGUUCGGGAUAACCCAGGGAGACUUGGGCUAAUACCGGAUACGUGCGAGAGCAGAAAGAUUUAUCGCUGAAGGAUCGGCCCGCGUCUGAUUAGCUAGUUGGUGGGGUAAUGGCCCACCAAGGCGACGAUCAGUAGCUGGUCUGAGAGGAUGAUCAGCCACAUUGGGACUGAGACACGGCCCAAACUCCUACGGGAGGCAGCAGUGGGGAAUAUUGGACAAUGGGCGCAAGCCUGAUCCAGCCAUGCCGCGUGAGUGGUGAAGGCCUUAGGGUUGUAAAGCUCUUUCGUCCGGGACGAUAAUGACGGUACCGGAAGAAGAAGCCCCGGCUAACUUCGUGCCAGCAGCCGCGGUAAGAC
rnacentral:rRNA from 1 species